UACGAAGGGGGCUAGCGUUGUUCGGAAUUAUUGGGCGUAAAGAGCUCGUAGGCGGUUUGUCGCGUCUGCUGUGAAAACCUAAGGCUCAACCUUGGGCUUGCAGUGGGUACGGGCAGACUAGAGUGCGGUAGGGGUGACUGGAAUUCCUGGUGUAGCGGUGGAAUGCGCAGAUAUCAGGAGGAACACCGAUGGCGAAGGCGGCUCACUGGACCGGUACUGACGCUGAUGCGCGAAAGCGUGGGGAGCAAACGGG
rnacentral:rRNA from 1 species